GAGCCAAUUUUGUACUUGAAAGUGAGUUUCUUAUACUGAUGUUUUUUGCCCAUGGCUAGAAGUGCCUUGAUUGGUUCAAAGCAACUGGUUAGUCAGUGCCAUAUAUCAGCUUGAUUGCCGAUCCGCUUGGCUGCAGCAUCUAAUGUGGCACCCAUUUGGUUGUGUCGUCAUGAAAUUAUCUGCAGGCUUUUGAACAGGCUGUGGCCCAUGCAUAGAUUGUUGUUCCAUUUCUUUGUCUGUGAGUUAAGGGAUUGUAGUUGACAAGUGGUUUGCAGUUUCCACAAAUCAUGAGCUCAACCACUUCACGAUGAAUUAUUAGCUUUUUUAUCAACCAAUUGUGCACCAUGGAGAAUACCAAAUCGGUUAGUGCACUGCUUUCUUAGGAUUUGACUAACACAUGUUGAGUAUUUACAAGCAGCCAAAUAUUGCCAAAGCCACCAAGGUCAAGCUUGAGUUCUUGCCACAUCAAAUUGGAGGUAUUGGGCUUACUGUCAUAUAGCAUUGCCAAACUUGAACUUGGGAAAUCAGCCUUUUCUGGUCGGAGUAGCCUUUUGAAUAUUGCAUCUAUUAUUUCUAUGCAUAAGGUAUUAAUUGUCAACCUUAGUUUUUGGCACAGGAAAUGAUCAUUAUCAGCUUGAGAACCUCAAUGCCCACAAUGAAGGUUUUGGUUCUUGACUCCAGAUGACCUAAUUUGAACUCAGUUGUCGGCUUCCCUGCUCGCAAAAGCUGUCCUCACCAUGGAAGAAUAUGGAGAACAGUCGAGAACUAGAACAGCAAGUGGCAUGAUGUUGACUUCGCCAAUAAAACUUCAAUGAAACAAUAUAGCUUCUUGAGAUGCUCAAUUGAAAUUCCAAAGUGUGUAUCAGAGUACUUUUGCAGGAAAUAGGCAUACUCGUGACUUCUGGAUGGUUGAUCC